GAUGAACGCUGGCGGCGUGCCUAAUACAUGCAAGUCGAGCGAACAGAUAAGGAGCUUGCUCCUUUGACGUUAGCGGCGGACGGGUGAGUAACACGUGGGUAACCUACCUAUAAGACUGGAGUAACUCCGGGAAACCGGGGCUAAUGCCGGAUAACAUUUAGAACCGCAUGGUUCUAAAGUGAAAGAUGGUUUUGCUAUCACUUAUAGAUGGACCCGCGCCGUAUUAGCUGGCUGGUAAGGUAACGGCUUACCAAGGCAACGAUACGUAGCCGACCUGAGAGGGUGAUCGGCCACACUGGAACUGAGACACGGUCCAGACUCCUACGGGAGGCAGCAGUAGGGAAUCUUCCGCAAUGGGCGAAAGCCUGACGGAGCAACGCCGCGUGAGUGAUGAAGGUCUUCGGAUCGUAAAACUCUGUUAUUAGGGAAGAACAAAUGUGUAAGUAACUGUGCACGUCUUGACGGUACCUAAUCAGAAAGCCACGGCUAACUACGUG
rnacentral:rRNA from 1 species